ensembl:snoRNA small nucleolar RNA SNORA8
AGCACUGUGUGGUAUCUACAGCCAGAUGCUUCAUCAACUGGCUCGUUCAAAAGUCAGUGCGAGACUAAGUCAACACUUGGCAUCGUUGGUCUCCAUAGCAACUGCUGGGAGUCCUGGUAGUUGGGUUGAAACAUUU